GACGAACGCUGGCGGCGUGCCUAAUACAUGCAAGUAGAACGCACAGUUUAUACCGUAGCUUGGUACACCAUAGACUGUGAGUUGCGAACGGGUGAGUAACGCGUAGGUAACCUGCCUGGUAGCGGGGGAUAACUAUUGGAAACGAUAGCUAAUACCGCAUAAUAUUGAUUAUUGCAUGAUAAUUGAUUGAAAGAUGCUAUUGCAUCACUACCAGAUGGACCUGCGUUGUAUUAGCUAGUAGGUGAGGUAACGGCUCACCUAGGCGACGAUACAUAGCCGACCUGAGAGGGUGAUCGGCCACACUGGGACUGAGACACGGCCCAGACUCCUACGGGAGGCAGCAGUAGGGAAUCUUCGGCAAUGGACGAAAGUCUGACCGAGCAACGCCGCGUGAGUGAAGAAGGUUUUCGGAUCGUAAAGCUCUGUUGUAAGAGAAGAACGGGUGUGAGAGUGGAAAGUUCACACUGUGACGGUAUCUUACCAGAAAGGGACGGCUAACUACGUG
rnacentral:rRNA from 1 species